UUCCACCAUUCCUCAGAAGAGGGAAGGCUGAUGGGCUGACAGUCUGUUCAGGGGAGCAGAGAUGUAUCUACUCCUUUUUAUAGCUCCCACAGAGUGAAGCACUCAGCCUGGCACGUGCUCAGUUGGCAUUGAACUGGUGCAGAGGGGCCCUUGAAUACUUUUGGACCACCUCCUGUCCAUCUUCACCUCUUCCUACAAUGCUGCCAACUCCAGCCCUCCCUGAGGAGGCUCAGAAAAUCACAUUCAGCCCUGUGGAGAUAAUCUUGGAACAUUCUCGGCUCUCCUAGAAUGACCUUUACCCUUGAAUACCAAGUGACUGGAGUGGAACUCCAGGACACCUCUGUGUCCCAGCACAAAGAGCUAAGUCUCCAUUCCCCCCCCCACCAAAACCCCAAACCAGAGAUUCCAAUUUCCAAACCAGAGAUGAUACCCCAGUUAGAGUCAGCAGAAGAACCAUGAAUGCUGGAAAGAUAAGUGCUGUGAGGCUCCUGUCCAGGUGAGUGACUGAAGGCCUCGUAAGUCAACACCUUUCUAGUCAGUGAAGGAGCGCAUGGGCUUUUUCAAGUUCUGCUGGUGAGAGUGGUUUUCUAUUUGCUUUGUAUUGUUCAUACCUGACCCAUUCAUAAAAGAGUGAAAAUUGUCCAUUUGGGGGCCCUGGAUUGAAUUAUGGUUUGAAAUUCCAGUUCUUACAAGAAAAAAUGAACAUUUUAAGGAUUCUAAAUGUUGCAUGGGCUUUUUGUUGGCCUUUGGUACUUACCCACAUUCACCAUUUAUCAUGAUGAGAUGCUCUCCAUGCAUUCUCCUUCAGAGGACAUUGACGUUUACAUUCAGGUUCAAGUACAGCAUGUUUAAUGGUGGCAGCUUAACCCCAAAGAAAGGAGUGAGAAGUGGGUGACAAAGAAAACUAUUUGUGUAUCUAGUGUUUUUUAAGACAUUUAUUCAUUCAUUUAACAAAUGGAUUUUUUUUACCCAAUAAGAUUCGCUUUAUUACAAAGAUAAUAUAUGCUCAUUUCAGAAAUUAAAAAAAAUACAGAGACACAAAGAAAACACAGAAGUCCUGAAAUCCCACCUCCCAGGGACAAUCACUAUCAACGUUUGAGUGAGCAUUCUUCCAAGGCUGGCUCCGCACCAUCAUGUGUGGAGAUGUGGAAACACUAUUGUGUGUGCUGUGGUCCUCUGCCUGUUAUUUUGUCCUCAAUCACGUGUCAUGGACAUCUUUCCAUGUCAGUUAAUAAGAUAUAGGUAUAGGCAAAUAUCCAUUCUCUUUAGUGACUGUGUAGUAUUCCGCUGCAUCAACAUAUCAUAAUCUAUUUAACCUGUCCACUAUUGAUAGCUAUUUAGAUUGUUUCCAGAUUUUCAUUAUUCUAAAUAACCCUGCAAUGAAUGACCUUAUACUACAUAUUUGUAAACUUGUCAGGCUAUUUCCUUUGGAUAGCUUCCUAGGAGUGGGCAAAUGAUGAAGUGCAGGAUAUCUAAAAUACAUUAUUUCCUUUCCAUUCACAACAAUCCUGGGUCAUUCAACUAGAUGUAAAAGAAAGUUGAUUUGGUCUUAAAAAGUUAACUGGCAACAUUUUCUCAAAAUCCAUCAGGCCUGUCAGGAAGAUGAACACGAUUUUAGGGUGGGGAUCCAUUUAAUUUCCUCAUCUUCGCUUGGGUUUCUCUGUUGUUUCUACUUCCUUCGGGCCUUUCUGAAAGAUUGAGGGUCUCCUCCUUUUCAGCAUUGAGCUCCUUAGCCCUUAGCUUUCACUCUUUGUAUUUUGGGUUGUCCCAUGUUAGUAUGUCCGAUCAUGGGAACAAAUAAUAACAACAACAAACACUUGCAUAGCAUUUGCAGUGUGCCAGGCAUGCAGAAUCAUAUCUGCUUUUCAAAUAUAAUUCAGUUAAUCUUCCAAAGAGCCUUACGUAGCAAGUUUCAUUAUCUUCACUCUACAGGUGAAGAAAUUGAGGCUCUGAGAGAGUAAGUAGGUGAAGAAAUUGAGUCUCUGAGAGAGUAAGUAGGUGAAGAAAUUGAGUCUCUGAGAGAGUAAGUAGUUUGUCUGAGUUCACACAGCAAGUAAGUGGCUGAGCCAGGAACCAAACCCAUUCAACUUGACUAUGGAGGCUCAUAGCUACACCUCAGCCAAUGUACUUUCUCUCACCAGUUCACACAGGUGUCCACACAGGUGCUGCAUGCUCUAGACCGUCCUAACCCAUCUGCUUCUGUGACCGGCCAGUGGCAUCUGCUCCUCCCCCACCAUCUCAGUUGAAGAAUUAAGAUGAGAUGCCUCCGUGUGUUUGUCUGGCUGAGCUCAACCAACUCAUCCCAGAACAAGCGUUCAUCUGCUUUCCUGUUCAAGGCAAUGAGGAAUAUUUGAGUGGAGUUGAAUUCUUCAAAGAAGUCUUAACCUUCAGGCUGGAGAAGACCAGAACUCCUCUUCCUAAUUUGGAAAUAAUGUCUCUUGUUUAUGGGGUUUGUUUUAAUCAUAAAGUAUCUUGUGUUCAUUUUAGAAAAGAAGAAAGAAGCAAAUAAAAUCACCUGUUAGAGAAAAGUAACUAAUAUUUUGAUGUAUUCCCUUCCAGUACUUACAUAUAUAAGUAUAUAUGUAUGCAUAGUUAUAUAUAUAACUAUAAAGAAAAGAUCAUGCUAUGUACUUGUAUAUAAUUUUGUAUAUUAAUUUUUGUUUAAUUUUGUAUCAUAACUGUUUUCACAUGUCAUUAAAAAUUCUUCAAAAU
rnacentral:lncRNA from 10 species